UGCUUGCACUCAAUUGGAAAGAGGAGUGGCGGACGGGUGAGUAACACGUGGGUAACCUACCCAUCAGAGGGGGAUAACACUUGGAAACAGGUGCUAAUACCGCAUAACAGUUUAUGCCGCAUGGCAUAAGAGUGAAAGGCGCUUUCGGGUGUCGCUGAUGGAUGGACCCGCGGUGCAUUAGCUAGUUGGUGAGGUAACGGCUCACCAAGGCCACGAUGCAUAGCCGACCUGAGAGGGUGAUCGGCCACACUGGGACUGAGACACGGCCCAGACUCCUACGGGAGGCAGCAGUAGGGAAUCUUCGGCAAUGGACGAAAGUCUGACCGAGCAACGCCGCGUGAGUGAAGAAGGUUUUCGGAUCGUAAAACUCUGUUGUUAGAGAAGAACAAGGACGUUAGUAACUGAACGUCCCCUGACGGUAUCUAACCAGAAAGCCACGGCUAACUACGUGCCAGCAGCCGCGGUAAUACGUAGGUGGCAAGCGUUGUCCGGAUUUAUUGGGCGUAAAGCGAGCGCAGGCGGUUUCUUAAGUCUGAUGUGAAAGCCCCCGGCUCAACCGGGGAGGGUCAUUGGAAACUGGGAGACUUGAGUGCAGAAGAGGAGAGUGGAAUUCCAUGUGUAGCGGUGAAAUGCGUAGAUAUAUGGAGGAACACCAGUGGCGAAGGCGGC
rnacentral:rRNA from 1 species